UUAAAGACAGAUCUUCAACACCCCUGACGGCAGCAAACAUGUCUAUGAUAGUAACACGGGGUGAAGCGGCUGAGUGGAAGAAGAUAUAGAGUGCUGUAGAGAAAAGUAUUGGAGAACAAGAAGAGUGAUGCAGAAAAUGAAACGCAGGGACAUAAAGAAAAAGCACGCAGUUCUGGACAUAUUUGUGAAGACUUAGGCUGGGACUUCCUCUGCACACCAGCUCCCUCCCCUGCCCCCAGCUCUACAGACAUGACCGCCCUUCCCACCUCCCGGGUUUCCCACAGCCGAGUCUCUUCCUAUGUCCAAUCCUAUGGUUUUGUUUCCUUUGCUUUUUCUUUCCUGCCCACUUUGUAGUUAUAGGUAUUUGCUGAAGCUCAGACCUUGGCUCAUUUCCUUUUUCCUUCUUACUGAACUGAGAAGUUGGAAUGCUUCAAUCAACAGCACUGUGCCGACAGUCUCUCUCAUCCUGGAUCGCAGCCCCUAAGACAUGUCUUCCUGGAUAUUCCAGGGUUCUUUCACAUAUCUAACACAUGCUGCAUCUUCACUGCUGCAUCCCAAUUUUCCCAGACCCACAAUGUGAAAAUUUUUAUUAUUUGGUCCUGAAACCUUUUGCAUCAUCCUACCUAUCAAAUCUGCCACAUUCCUUGUUGACUUUUAAAAAGUUUUACUAGGGUACCAUGUCCAGUGUCUUGACCCCAGGCUGGUAACCAUCGCUUGCCCGCUACUCUGCACCAGCUUCUU
rnacentral:antisense_RNA from 1 species